ACAAGUGUAGGCUACGGUCUACUUACACCUCUCCUUGUUAUGGUUCAUGAUGUGCAGAAAAACCUUUAGGCCGAACUUAAAAUAUGUAAGGAGGCAGCUUUAGGCUAAACUUGAUUUAGCACCCUCAAGAUACCCGAGUCUCUUGCAGAUUUGAGUCAGGAUGGCUUCAGCCUAAGGAAGAGCUUGCUGGGCUCCUGCCAAUAUAAAUUACCCUCAGCAAGACGACACCAGGGAAAAAUGCUCCCACCAGGCACAGAAAUGGUUCCGGGGGCUAGAGAUUGAGAUGGUCCCCAGCCACUGUGCAGUUCUAAGCACUUCAGGGCCCACAGAACAAAGGGGCUAAUAGGGGGCCCAGGUGACCGUGAGAGAAUGGAGUUGCUGCUGCCCGAGGGAAGAGAGGACUGUCUCCCAUGCCCAGAGGCCCCGUGGGAGUGGUCCUAGCAUGCCUGUCCAGGAUAAAAGCCAAUAGAGGCCCACACAAGCCCCAGGCAGGAGGGACCCCCAAGGGAGCAGCCGCUGAGGAUGGAGAGUCCGAGAGCUGCGGGGCUGAUGGGGAGCCCAGGGGAAGCGU
rnacentral:antisense_RNA from 1 species